rnacentral:lncRNA from 1 species
GUGGAUAUUCUCAGUUCAGUCAGAGAGAAACAGAGGAGGAUUUCUGCCAGGCUAAGCCUGGGAAAAAAUCUUUCUGUUUCUCUCUGACUAGACUGAAAAUAUCCACACUAAAUUGGUCGUAGAAUGUCCUGUAGAAAACUUGCCCUGGGAUAAAAACUCAGCUGAAAUGGGAUAUGAAGCAUUGGGGUUGGGAGAAAGCGGAAGGGAGAGCCAGCCCAAGGGAAAUACAGGAAAGGGAAAAGUUUCCAAAGAGGGCAGUAUCCCUGGUAUCCUAUAUUAAUCCUUUCUGAUUAAUGUGGCAAAAGAAUGGGAAACUUCUUAAUUAGCCCCAGGAACUGCCUUAUCCUUCAUGGAGAACCUCUGGGCUUGAGUCCCCACCUGAGGCAGCACAGCUCGGGUCCACGCACAGCCCAGAGGAGCUGCAGUCUGCUCUGCAUCCCUGCUGGAAGCUGGUCUCAGGAAUGGUGGGAGCUCUCCUCUCACUUGUUCCCAGUUUGUCAACAGCUCUGUGUGCAGGGAAAGGAGCAUUUGUCACUAAUGACCCGAGCUGAGUGAUGGGGGAGUGGGAGUCACUGCUGAGCAUGAGCUGGCCGUGUAUUGCAAGCUUUGUCUCCUCUUCUUCCAGUGACUCACUCAGAUCCUCCUCUGAGAAGGAAUCGCUUCGCAGCAUGCAGCAUUUGGGAGGAAAGCCACAGAAAAAGCUGCAAAACAAAGGCCUCAACAUCAGACCUGCUCUCAGGACCCUCAGCCACCAACAGCCAGAUCCACCACCUGGAGGAAAGACUGGCACAGCAAUCCCUUGCUGCUGUUGCUGAGAUUCCUUCUCUGUGUCCAAGAGCUUUCCCAGGGGAGAAGAAAGUGCUGCAGGAAGACAGAGGGCAAAUCACGCACCAAAGAGCCUCCCAUGCAGUGCAAUGCAAACAUUCAAGGUGCUGAGAGCCAGAGUGAAGCUGGGAAGCUGCUUCCAGCAGCACAGAGAAAUGCCUGAGCUGGUCCAGGUACUCCAAGCACAGAGGAAAGUGCUGAGAAAGGAAAGAGAGGCCGGAACAGAAGAACCAAGUCCAGGCUUUGGGGACAGCAGGGAUGCUGACUGUCUGUGGAGAGGAUUCUGCACCUCUGCAGUCUGGGACCGCUGGGACUCACCUGAAGAAAUCUUCACUAGAAAGUGAUCCUCACUGGAAAAACUUUCCUGAUUAACUUUGCCAAGGGGCUGAUCCUGCCUUGGCUACGAACCCUCCCCGCUGGCCGUGCUGUAACUCACCUCUCCUGAGUCGUUUCAUGCGGGUAUCCGUUCCAAACCUCAAAGGGCUCCCGGAGUUUGGAGAAGCAUCCCACCAUCCAGAUGCUUGUCUGAACUGUUGGAGCCUGCACAUCUGGGCCAGCUGUCUUGCCAGCAAGGAGCCUUGUGAGACAGCAGGCGCUCUCUGGGUCUGCAUGGGCCAGAGUUACUGCAAGAACUGGGGUUCUUGUGCUGGCUUUGGAGUGACUGUUUCCAUCCAGACCCAGGGAGCCCAAAAAGAGCUCGAGUGAGCUGGACAAGACAGUUUUGGUUCAUCUCUCAGCCGAAGAGGUCCAGUUGGUUCCUCUCUCUUCCAGAGCCAACUGUCCUGUGUGUGGGUGUGGGUGUGGGUGUCAGUGUGUGUGUGUGGGGGGGGUGUGUGUGUGUUGAGCAAAAAAAAAAAAAAAAUCCACAUUACUUAAAUUCUGUGGUGUUUUGUUGCAUUUGAAUUAAGCCAGAGGGACCUAAGGCACAUUCCAACAAGGCUCAGCAAAAAUGUCCAGGACUGGAAAAUUCCAUAAAACCAUGUAAAGGCAGAUUCCCAGGCAUCAUCUUAAGGUCUAAAUGAUAUUUGAUUUUGAGGUGCUUAAUUUCCACAGUCUCUUCCAAGGGACUAGACUGCCUCAAUAGGCAUUUUAUUUUUCCUGCUCUUUUAGGGAAUUAGCCUGUCUGUGCUACAUUUGGUCCUGAGUUUUUUACAUUUUCAGCUGGCUUUUUGGAGUGUGCAGAACUGAAUCUCCUGGACUUAUUUGAUUUCAAUUGUUGCUCCCAGCAAAUUGGAGCUUUACUUGUAGCACCCUGGUUUUUAUUACCAGCUUCUCCAGGAAGGACUGGUAGUUUAUUUUCCUGGGGCAGAGUCACGUGAAUGAGAAGCGUGGAUGUGUUGUACCUCUAGAACUUUAGCAGAUUUCAACCACUGCAUUUUUUUCCUCCCUAGGUGAUUUUGCAUUUACUGAUGAAACAACUUUAGAGUUUUUAUUUUUACUAGAGAUAUUAUUAAUUCAAGCAACCUUGUGCAAAAGGCAAACACGUCGAAUCGCUGCAGGUUGUAGGGGUUGAAGCCAAAAGGUCUUUGUAAGCCGACAUCACCUGCCCUGGAUCUGACUGGAUCAGGCAGUUUAUUCCUCAUGUGUCAUGUUGGAGUUACAAGAUCACACCAAGCCACUAGAGCCUGUGGGUAGAAUAGUGCUACACUCGAUUUGCUAUUGUAGCAAAGCCUUUUGUAGAUUUAUACAAUAAAACUUUGAAAUAUCUGCUUCA